rnacentral:rRNA from 1 species
GCCUGCUGCGUGGCAGUGGCUGUGGUAGAACGUGGGGCGCAAGGUUGUUCAUGGUUGUGUGUGGGCUGGGAGCGCGUCGGGCGUUGGUUGGUUCUGCCGGGAGAGCCCACAGCUCAACUGUGGGCUUGCGGUUGGUACGGGCGGGCUGGAGUUCGGUAGGGGAGACUGGAAUUCCUGGUGUAGCGGUGAAAUGCGCAGAUAUCAGGAGGAACACCGGGGGCGAAGGCGGGUCGCUGGGCCGAUACUGACGCUGAGGAGCGAAAGCGUGGGGAGCGAACAGGAUUAGAUACCCUUGUAGUC